ACUCCUACGGGAGGCAGCAGUGGGGAAUCUUCCGCAAUGGGCGAAAGCCUGACGGAGCAACGCCGCGUGAGUGAAGAAGGUCUUCGGAUUGUAAAGCUCUGUUUAAAGGGACGAAUGGCAUUUGUGUGAAUAAUGCAGGUGCAUGACGGUACCUUUGGAGGAAGCCACGGCUAACUACGUGCCAGCAGCCGCGGUAAUAC
rnacentral:rRNA from 1 species